rnacentral:lncRNA from 10 species
CUUUUUGGUAGAAGGGAAAUUGUAAUCCAUGAGAAGAAAAAAAUUUUCCUAACUAUUCUCAGGUGUGUUUAAGGGCUGCAUUCCAUGAUGCUAUCAGUGCCUUCUUUCAGCUCACAGGAUAUCGGCCAUGUUAAUGAGUCUGAUGUUGCUAGUAUCACAGGCACCGGAAAAUAUGCACAUUAUGCUGGAGCAUUAGAAUGCAACAGAAAGAGCCCUGGGCUUGGAGUAUGCAGAACUGGUUCUUGUUACAACUCCUCUUACUAGUGGGCUGCUAUGGACCUAAAGUGGAGGGCUUUGAAAUUUCCUGCUUAAUUGGGCUGCAUGUCAUUGCUGUCCUUAGAAGUUGCUCUGGGAUGCAGCUCUGGAAGAAAACACAUUGAAUUCAUGAUCAUGGUUAACCUUUGGAGAGAGAGAGGAGACCAGGAUGAAGGAGCCAGUCGAAGAUCCUGUUCAAGUGUACACUGAGCCAGCAGGUUCACCAGAAAGCUAUUGAGCGUUUGCUGGAACACAUUAUGCAGGGUGAAUUUCUUCUGGAAUGUUGCCAAGG